rnacentral:rRNA from 1 species
GUGAGGAAUAUUGGUCAAUGGACGCAAGUCUGAACCAGCCAAGUAGCGUGCAGGAUGACGGCCCUCCGGGUUGUAAACUGCUUUUAGUUGGGAAUAAAGUGCAGCUCGUGAGCUGUUUUGUAUGUACCAUCAGAAAAAGGACCGGCUAAUUCCGUGCCAGCAGCCGCGGUAAUACGGAAGGUCCAGGCGUUAUCCGGAUUUAUUGGGUUUAAAGGGAGCGCAGGCGGACUCUUAAGUCAGUUGUGAAAUACGGCGGCUCAACCGUCGGACUGCAGUUGAUACUGGGAGUCUUGAGUGCACACAGGGAUGCUGGAAUUCAUGGUGUAGCGGUGAAAUGCUCAGAUAUCAUGAAGAACUCCGAUCGCGAAGGCAGGUAUCCGGGGUGCAACUGACGCUGAGGCUCGAAAGUGCGGGUAUCAAACAGGAUUAGAAACCCCAGUAGUCCC